ensembl:misc_RNA Metazoa_SRP Metazoan signal recognition particle RNA
GCUGGGCGUCAUGGCGGGUGCCUGUAAUCCCAGCUACUUAGGAGGCUGAGGCAGGAGAAUUGCUUGAACCUGGGAGGCGGAGGUUGCAGUGAGCUGAGACUGCUCCACUGCACUCCGACCUGGGUGACAGAGCGAGACUCUGUCUCUU